UGUUUUGACUGUCUCCUAUAUGCCUCUAUAUUUUAUAAACGUUCAUUGUGUGUGUCUCCUCUUUCAGUUGGAAUCAUUCUGUUUGUGUACUCGAACAUCAAACUGACAUUAGGAGCAUCUGUUGUCUUGCAAUGCAAUGGGACGAGACAGAACGAUGGACAGUUCCUCUUUGUCAUUUUGUAUAACAUUAAAGAGUACUUCAGUGACUGCGAGAAACAAUGGCUUGUCAAUGGAACUCUGACAGGUCUUUUUGAGGAAGGAAAUCCAUCUUUCAUCUCUCCUAUUACAAACCUGACCGCAAGCACUGCCACUCUGCAGGCCUGUCCUGAAAAUCUUGAGUGUCUGCUCUCCUGCCCCACUGGCAAAAUCAAUGAAAAGCAACUGUGCUCUUGUGAUAUCAGCACUCCGACUUCACUUUCUGAAGUGGGUUAUCUUGACUGGAGCGUUGGUAUUUGGACUGGAGUGAGUGUGUCUGUGGUUCUGUUGGUGUCUGUGAUUAUCACCAUUGUACUUUAUAAGAUUAAACAAAGGUCAAGAUUUGGCCCUAGUGUUCCAGUUCCUGCUGAACAGAUUGUUUUAUUCUGGUAUGUACUGUAGCAUCAGUAGUCUGUGUGUAUGAAUGAUGCAAAUCAUUACCUUUAAUCUUAUAUUUUUAAAUAUACAUUAUAUUUGGUAGUCAACUACAGUAUAAAACAACAGCUUCUAAAAAGCUUUCACCUUUUUUUUUUGACCACAGAAGAUGUUCCAUCAUCACACCUGGACCUUUUAUCUUCAGUUAUUCAUUCUUUGUACUCCAGAAGUAAUCUUUUUAUAAUUUCCAUCAUUUAUGUAGCAUUAGCUCUAUUAUUCUGUGUGUGUUGGCUACAUUUAGCAUCUCAGUGCUUUAUAGCUUGUAGGAUUUUGUUCAUCUUUUAAAAUAAAUUAUGACACUAACCUAAAUGAAGUUACAAGAAAUAGUGAUAUUAUUUAGUUAUAAAUGAUAUAAUCAUAUAUUUAUAUAUAAGUACUGCAUGUGUCCACCAAUGAUGUGAACAUAUUAUAAUGUGUACUAAAAAUGUUUUAUCAUAAAAGUGAAUUUUAUGUCUGUUACACAAAUGGCACAUGCUCAGCAUUUAUAUUUAUUUAUAAUAUAUAUAUAUAUAUAUAUAUAUAUAUAUAUAUAUAUAUAUAUAUAUAUACAUAUACAUUAAUAUUAUUUUUUUUUAUAUAUAUAUAUAUAUAUAUAUAUAUAUAUAUAUAUAUAUAUAUAUAUAUAUAUAUAUAUAUAUAUAUAUAAUAAAAAAUAAUAUAUUUUAUUAAAAAUGAUAACUUAACACAGGUAACUAUGUAUUCUUAUUAAUAUAUAUAUUUAUCGCUGGUCUGUUUGGUUAGUGGGAAGGAACUAGGCAGAUAGCAUGGCACUUAGUGAGCGUAAAACACACGGCAUCACUGUGGCUAGGGUUUAUUGUACUGCUGAAGCAAAUUAACUGUAUUACCAGGGCAAGUAUUUUCUAUAAACUGCUGCUGUGGAAGCAAAAUGAAAUGAAAUGCUGUGCCAGUGAGUUCACAAAUCUAAUACAUUACUAGUCAAAUCCACUCAGCACCUGCCACUGCUUCAGAUCUGGCCUUAAAUAUGAAUGUGUGUUAAUAAACAAGUAAUGUAGUACAAAUGUAGUAGAUCUACAAUCUAAAUAAUCUACAAUUUAAUUAAAGUUGGAGAUGUUUGAACUGAAAUUUUCUCUGUAUGCCAUGCUAUUUGCUGAUGAAGUACUCCUCAUAUUGACCUGGGAACUUCCCACUAGUCUGUACGGUGGCCACUGAUUUAUGAUGAUGUGUCCGCUAUCACUUUGUGGUACUGCUGUAGAUUUUAGCAGAUUUGUGUCAAAUGUCUGUUAGAUGAAAGCUUUAUAUGUGUCAUAACUGAUAUGUUAUAAUAUACGCUUGGCUAUUGUAUUGCACUGCAUCCUCUUUGAAAUGACUUCUGCCUUAAAGCACUUAAAACUGCGGUCUAGGUGAAGAAUCUUCUUUUCUGUUAAUAAAAUGCUUUAAAAACAUUUUGAUGUAUAGCUGAUUGAUUUCUCCAUUGUUCAGCACUUAAGAAGAGAAGAGCAGCACUGUGAGGGUUGUGUUUGCUCAAGUCAAUACCUCAUUAUGUCAUCUGACAGAUAGCUGAUGUGCACAGAUAUGAAUAUGGGGGGCAGACUGACCUUGAAGUGGUCUUUGAGGUCUCCAGCUCAUUCAACACCCUGCCAACAAGAAACUCCCAGUGUCAAUCAGUUCUCCAUAUAUGAAAACUGAAUUUGAUCUCAAAUGCAAAUUUUCAAACUCAAAGUUUAGCCAUUUGAUUUCUUUGUUUAAUUGAUUCGCCAUGUUCUGUCCACAAAAAGGAUAGAGCAGGCUAAAAUCACCUGUUCUAAUUUGAUUGGCAGGCAGUUUCGCAACAUCCACGAUUCAGUCUACUGCACAGAUUUUUCUGCUGGGAAACAGUUUACAUGUUACCAGUAGCAACAGAAGAACAACUUAUGGUAAACGUUCACUUUUUUAAUCUAGCCACUCAUAUGCCAGAAAAAUAAUCACACCACUUUUUCUCCCCAUACUUUUUUUUUUUCAACAGGAAAAGCCAUCGUCAAUGGUUGCUCUGUUGCCUUUAAUAACCCCUUGAACAAUUUGCUUUGUCAUCCAGGAUUUUCAUACAGUCCAGACUCCACCUACUUCUUCACCACAAAACGGUCCAGGGUAAUUUUGAGGCUUCAGAGAAAUGUUGGCUAGUCUCACAUAGCCAUAAAUCUUGAGACCAAUUCCUUUGCUUUAUCUUAGUGUUUAAUAUUUUUUUACCCUGAGCAUGCAGUGCACCAUCAUUUUCUAUUUUUGGUCUUUUUAUUGGUAUUUAAGAAGACAACGUAAUUGACAUUUAAUGAAAAAUAAGAGACAAAUGACUGAAACCAUUUAAACCAUCCCAUGCAAAGAAAUAUAAAUGCAAUUCAAAACCAAAACCCCACACCUUAUAUUCAAGGAAAAGAAGAAGAAAAUAUUAUAAACAUUCCUCUCUCCAAUAUGUGUCUUUGUUGUGCAGCUAAAGAUUUCUUGCAAAACUAGUUUGGAGUCCCUUGCCUCAACUUCGUGAAGCCAUUUUCUACUGGUUUUGAAAUUAAAGUAUAUG
ensembl:lncRNA